GAUGAACGCUGGCGGCGUGCCUAAUACAUGCAAGUCGAGCGAACAGACGAGGAGCUUGCUCCUCUGACGUUAGCGGCGGACGGGUGAGUAACACGUGGAUAACCUACCUAUAAGACUGGGAUAACUUCGGGAAACCGGAGCUAAUACCGGAUAAUAUAUUGAACCGCAUGGUUCAAUGGUGAAAGACGGUUUUGCUGUCACUUAUAGAUGGAUCCGCGCCGCAUUAGCUAGUUGGUAAGGUAACGGCUUACCAAGGCGACGAUGCGUAGCCGACCUGAGAGGGUGAUCGGCCACACUGGAACUGAGACACGGUCCAGACUCCUACGGGAGGCAGCAGUAGGGAAUCUUCCGCAAUGGGCGAAAGCCUGACGGAGCAACGCCGCGUGAGUGAUGAAGGUCUUCGGAUCGUAAAACUCUGUUAUUAGGGAAGAACAAAUGUGUAAGUAACUAUGCACGUCUUGACGGUACCUAAUCAGAAAGCCACGGCUAACUACAUG
rnacentral:rRNA from 1 species